AGAGUUUGAUCCUGGCUCAGGAUGAACGCUAGCGGUGUGCUUUAUGCAUGCAAGUCGUACGAUUUUAGCUUGCUAAAAUAGUGGCGGACGGGUGAGUAACACGUAAGUAAUCCACCCUCAAGUUGGGGACAACCUUGGGAAACCGGGGCUAAUACCGAAUGUGAUGGUUUGACAUAAGUCAGAUUAUUAAAGCAGUAAUGCGCUUGAGGAGGAGCUUGCGGUCGAUUAGCUAGUUGGUAGGGUAAAAGCUUACCAAGGCUACGAUCGAUAGCUGGUCUGAGAGGACGAUCAGCCACACUGGGACUGAGACACGGCCCAGACUCCUACGGGAGGCAGCAGCAAGGAAUUUUGGGCAAUGGGCGAAAGCCUGACCCAGCAACACCGCGUGGGGGAUGACGGCCUUCGGGUUGUAAACCCCUUUUACUAGGGAAGAAUAAAAUGACGGUACCUAGUGAAUAAGCCCCGGCUAACUACGUGCCAGCAGCCGCGGUAAGACGUAGGGGGCAAGCGUUAUCCGGAUUUAUUGGGCGUAAAGAGAGCGUAGGCGGCUUUUCAAGUCGGAUGUGAAAUUUCCCAGUUUAACUGGGAGGGGUCAUUCGAUACUGUUAGGCUUGAGUGCAGCAGGGGGAAACGGAAUUCCCGGUGUAGUGGUGGAAUGUGUAGAUAUCGGGAGGAACACCAGAGGCGAAAGCGGUUUCCAAGGCUGUUACUGACGCUGAGGCUCGAAAGCGUGGGGAGCAAACAGGCUUAGAUACCCUGGUAGUCCACGCCAUAAACGAUGGAUACUAGGUAUAGGGAGUAUCGACCCUCUCUGUGCCGAAGCUAACGCUUUAAGUAUCCCGCCUGGGGAGUACGGUCGCAAGAUUAAAACUCAAAGGAAUUGACGG
rnacentral:rRNA from 1 species